rnacentral:rRNA from 1 species
AUUGAACGCUGGCGGCAGGCUUAACACAUGCAAGUCGAGCGGUAGCACAGGGGAGCUUGCUCCCUGGGUGACGAGCGGCGGACGGGUGAGUAAUGUCUGGGAAACUGCCUGAUGGAGGGGGAUAACUACUGGAAACGGUAGCUAAUACCGCAUAACGUCGCAAGACCAAAGAGGGGGACCUUCGGGCCUCUUGCCAUCAGAUGUGCCCAGAUGGGAUUAGCUAGUAGGUGGGGUAAUGGCUCACCUAGGCGACGAUCCCUAGCUGGUCUGAGAGGAUGACCAGCCACACUGGAACUGGGACACGGUCCAGAAGACUGAGGGAGGCAGCAGUGGGGAAUAUUGCACAAUGGGGGCAAGCCUGAUGCAGCCAUGCCGCGUGUGUGAAGACGGCCUUCGGGUUGUAAAGCACUUUCAGUGAGGAGGAAGGUGGUGAACUUAAUAAGUUCAUCAAUUGACGUUACUCGCAGAAGAAGCACCGGCUAACUACGUG